rnacentral:lncRNA from 1 species
UUAAGAUGAUAUGCCCGCAGGCAUUAUGUGAAAAAGUAGAUUUUAACUGCAUAACUAGAUUGAGUUAGAACCUCGUAGGCGAUGGGGUAAUCAUCGGACAUAGGCGCAUAUGCUUGACAAGUGAUAUUAGGCUUAAAGUGCUUUGUUAUUGUUAUUUUGAUCAGUAUUGCUAGGUGUUUAUUGAUGUUGAUGUGAUUGUCCGUGUUUGCAUCUUUAUUAUGAUCUCAAUCAGCCGUUAGAAAGAAAUGCCGCCACUAUCCAAAUAGACUGAUUGGGUUAGUAGCUAAUACUUAAUUUUGUUAAGUUGCAUGGCGGAGUUACUUCAUAGUUCUUGUUGGGUUAUUUUAGUUUUUUUGUCUGAAUUACUUUUUUUGUUUGAUGUUUGAAUUGCAUUGUUUGUAAUAUUGUCCGAUGAUUGUUUAAUUAGAAAUAUAAAAUUUAUUAAACUCUAAUUUGUUAAAAGUGGUAUGUGCUUGAAGAUUGGAGCUCGAAGAACAUAAGAUUUGCCUCGACACAUGUUAAGAUGAUGAACUGACCAUCAGUUAGAAGCUGAUACUUGAAAAGCUAAGUUGCUAAUUUUUAAUUUUAUUAAGUUGCAUGCUAGGGUUCCUUCAAAAGUCAUGUUCGGUUAUUUUACUUCUUUUGUUUGCUAAUUAGAAACUAAAAAUUUAUAAACUCUAAUUUCUGAAAAAUGGCAUGCGCUUGAAGGUUGGAGCUCGAAGAACAUGAGGUUUACGUCGGCACAAGUUAAGUUGAAGAACUGAUGAUUAGUUAGAAGCUGAUACUUGAAAAGUUAAGUUAUUUAUUCUUUAGCUAAAUAUAACUUUUUAAUUUCCUUAUUAUGUUUACUAUCUCAAUUUCUACUUCUAAGGUUAGUAGCUCUACCUCAUCUCUAAAUAAUUUCAUGAUAGGGUUAGUAGCUAAUUUUUAAUUUUAUUAAGUUGCAUGGUGGAGUCACUCCAAAAGUCAUGUUAGGUUUUUUUAAUAUUUUUGUUUGAAUAACUUCUUUUGUUUGAUGUUUGAAUUGAAUUUUUAUAAUAUAGUGUGAUGAUUGUUAAUUAGAAAUAGAAAUUUUAUAAACUCUAAUUUGUUAAAAUGUUAUGUGCUUGAAGGUUGGAGCUCGAAGAACAUAAGGUUUGCGUCG